rfam:Acanthisitta chloris contig33134, whole genome shotgun sequence.
UCAAAGGCUCUUUUAAGAGCCACCCACGUAUUCAUGAAAGGGCUG